rnacentral:lncRNA from 1 species
GCCGCAGGUUCGUAGCUCAGGUGCUGUAACGUGACACUGGAGCACGUGACCUGCAGAGGGAAUUCAGGAGGAGGAAGAAACCGAAACACCGCUGAUAUCCGGAGCGCGCGAGCCCGACCUGCCCGAGCUCUGUGUGUGUGUGUGAGCAGGUGUGUACAGGUGUGUUUAGGUGGACUUUACCUCUGUUUAACUGGGAACUCUGGAGUUUUGUCGGUGUGUGACUGGGUGCCGCGCGCCACUGGGCCGCUGUCGCCGCGAGCUCCUCCGGUGAGCGCUGAGGUGAGGCGGAAGAGGAGCCGCGCGCGCACACAGGAGAGAAGCAGCAGCAGCAGGAGCAGUCAUUCAGAGAAGACAGCCGCCGCAGUGUCAUCCAGCUCUGCUGACAUGACCUGCCGUGUCCAGGCCGUGGCCCGGGGUGCGUGAGGGCAGGGAGAUGGAGUCCAGGCCGGCCGCGAUGCUCCAGGCGGGGCUGGCGGCAGGGAGUGCUCUGCUGCUGGUUCUUGGAAAUGCUUCAGCUCAAGAAAACAUCACAAUGCCAACAAACACCACAGAUACAUCCAGCACUCAGGGGCCUAACAUCGUGGCGAUUGUGGUGCCAAUCGUGGUGGUGCUCGUGCUGGUGAUCACAGGAGGGCUGAUCUUCCUUUUCUGCGUGGUGAAGAAGAAGCGGCAGACGGAGGGAACGUACAGGCCCAGCUCGGAGGAGCAGUCAGGGGCGCGGAGCGUGGAGGCACCCAACACUCUCAAACUGCCCAAAGAGGAGAGACUUAUCUGAUGAUAGAGUGCAGGACCUGCAGCGCUCCAUACCCAGGAUAUGGCGUCACAUGGUUCAAGCAUUUCAGCAAGCUGGCACAAGGCGUCCUCCACAGUGACAGUCCAGUGUGCGAUCAAAUUUGCACUAUUUUUUUCUUCAGGAGUUAGGUUCCUGUAGUAGUUUUGCACUGGAACUAAUGCUAAAGCUAAUGUUGCUACCAUGUAAUGAUAGCUUAUGACCACUAAUUGGCAUAUUAAUCAUAAUAUCAAAAUCAUACCACAGGCUACACUGCUAAAUCAUGUUAACACAUUUGUGUGUGAUUAUUUAAAUAUGCAAUAUAAUGCAUUUAGUCAGUAUUUAAUAGCUUGGAAGCCUAUUUACCACGCUGUUACUUUGCCUAAAAAAACAGAUUACCUUGUACGGGGGCGGGGGGGGUGUGGAAAGCAUUAUAAGCUCUGAUCUUAUUGGCUGGUGAACGUUACCACAAUGGGUUCCAUGAGCCAUGUAACAUAGCAUAGCAUAGCAUAACAUAGCAUAGCUUGAAGAGCAACUAAACCAUAUUUUUUUCCUUUAAUAGCUAAAAUGUGUUUUGUUGAAAUAAUGAAACAUACCAGUCCUGUUUAAAAAUCUAAAAUCUGCAUCUCACCACUAUCAGAGUCACAAUUCUGCUGCUGCAGCUCAGCCAAUCAGCUCUCACUCCUGUCCUGCAUCUAAACCCAUACAUCACCCAGUGCCACUCCCAAAACUACUUUUUUAAAAUUUGAGGGUGGAGUCAGCAAAAAGCAAGGGGGGUUAGUGCCUUUUUAACAUAGCAUAGCAUAGGAUAGAUAACAUAGCAUAGCAUUGAAUCACAUAGCCAUGUUUUAGCUCUGUGACAAAAACAUUGUUAUUAUUUUCCCAAUUAUUCCUAAUUAAUUCCUACCCAAUGUAGGAGUCAAUGAUAAGAAAUUUGAGCUGGUUGGCUACAGUUAGUUUAGCAUAGCAUAAAAGCACCCAUUUGCUUCCUUGGGUGGUGCUUUUAAGUUUGCCUUCUGAUGUGUGUUUAGCCUGUGGUUAGGUUUAAUUGUGUUUUAAACAGUGUCUAUAGGAGAUGCAAUGCUACAGAUUGAACCUAGCAUUAAUAUAUCCGCUCGAUUUAUACAGUUAAAUACAGUUUUCCUUUGUUUGGCACCUUCACAUUCUGAAUUUUAGCCUGAACUAAUCAUAACUGAUGAAGUACAUGUGUAGUAAAGGAAAAAUUGUGCAAAUUUGAUUUUUAGACUAUCACUUUCAAGUCUCAUCACUGUUGAAUGAAUCAUAUAAAAACACAGGUGUGCCUGAAAGACGUUACAUAACGGUUGAUGGCUGGAAUUGACACUAUGCUAAAGCUCAUGGCUCUACUGUGGAUUAGCUUAACUGAACCUUACCACUGAACCUUGCCUACAGCCGAUGGGCUUUCGCCUGAAGACACACCCAUCAGAUUCUUCGGUACAACACUAUAAUGAUUUGAUCUGCAACAAGGCACAGUUCUGCUCUGAACAGAGAAACACCAAAUCUACCCCAGAGGUAGAGGGUAAGAUAACUUUUGUAACUGCAUGGGAUUGGUCAGUUUGCUGACUGACCAGGAGUGGUAUUCCUCUUAAAACCUGUCACACACUCAAGUGUCUUGUACUUAAGGUACCUUGUCCUUACAUUAUCUCACAGGGUUGGGCGGUUUGAUGGUAAUACGGUUUAGUGCUGUAUUUAAAAAUGUUGAUGGUAUCUCCAACUAAAGGCGAUAUUUCAAAUUACUACAACUUUAAUGUGUCAAAGUUCUGUUUAAUGUCCAGCACAAGGCCAAGCUUAAGCUCAGUCUUCCAGGUUCUUUGAUUUGUGAUUAAAUCAGGUGUAAAAAAAUAUUAAAAUGAGAGCAUUUAUUUGAAGAAAAUGAGAAAAAACGAGUUCAGAAAUCAAUAUUUGGUGGAAUAACCCUGGUUUUUAAUCACAGUUUUCAUGCAUCAUGGCAUCAUGUUCUCCUCCACCAGUCUUACACACUGCUUUUGGAUAACUUUAUGCUGGAAAGUUUGGAUAACUUUUAUUUUGCUCCUGGUGCAAAAUUUCAAGCAGUUCAUCUUGGUUUGAUGGCUUGUGAUCAUCCAUCUUCCUAUUGAUUAUAUUCCAGAGGUAUUUAAUUUGGUAAAAUCAAAGAAACUCAUCAUUUUUUAUAUUAUAUAUAUAUUUGGAGAUGAUAUGACUGAAUGAAAUAAGUGUAUACCCUCAAACUGCCCAACCCUACAUUGUCUUUCCAUUUCCAUGCUAGUUUUGGAAGCCUUGAUUGGAAUUGUCUUUCCUGCUGCUGUGUGAGUUAUAAUUCAAAGAUUAUUUUUUAUAUAUAGUGUUAAACAGUUUUUAUUGAUUUUAUUAACUUUUUUUUUCAUAAAUGCUCAUAUGAUAUGGGAAUGUUUUUAAACCUAGGAUAGUGCAUUUGAUGCUGGAACCACUAUGAUCUCGAUGGCUUUAUUUACCAAGAGUGAUUAUUUACCUCAGUGUGUGUGUCUGUGGAAUGAGUGUAACACUGAUCAUGCUGAAUCGUCUGCAGUCUAAUGAUGAACUGCAGCCAGGAAUCACACACGUUUAAUCAAACACCUAACGAAUAUACUUGAAUAGUUUUUUUAUGAGCACUACUAACAUUUAAACUAUUUAAACUAUAAUUAUUAUUUUAUUUAGCCCCUCUGUGACAUGAGUGUCCAGUCUUGUUUGGUCUUUAUUUGCAUCCCAAAGCCUAGGCUGCAGCCUAGAAUUGCAGCCAACGCUUAGAGUGAUUUUGCGGCCGCAGCUGAUGUAUCCUUCAUGGUCCUUGAUGUUGGUUAAUGACGUCACUACAAAUAUUUAUUAGACUGUUUUAUAUGUGUGACCGAUAGUCUGCUAAAAAGAGUCUUCAUAGGACAGUCCUUCUAAUGCUGCCUUCAAGUCGUCCUCGGAAAUUCCUAUUUACGAGGUUUGAGGUUGUAAAUAUGACUUUACAUGCGUUUAAGUGUUUUUGGUCGGGUGGAAAUGGACCCUAAUAGAAAAAUCCUUUUGAUUAUAACUUUGGUCUAUUAUCAUAAAAAAACAGGAAGUUUAUUUUGCCCUACUCCAAGAGAAUAAACGAAUGAGACAUUCAUUAGUUGAGUGAUAU